AGAUUCUUGGAGGUAGAGCACUGUUUGGGUGAGGGGUCCAUCCCGGAUUACCAAUCUCAGAUAAACUCCGAAUGCCAAUGAAUUAUGGUCGGCAGUCAGACUGCGAGUGCUAAGAUCCGUAGUCGAAAGGGAAACAGCCCAGACCACCAGCUAAGGUCCCAAAAUAAUUGUUAAGUGGAAAAGGAUGUGGGGUUGCACAGACAACUAGGAUGUUAGCUUAGAAGCAGCUAUUCAUUCAAAGAGUGCGUAAUAGCUCACUAGUCGAGUGACCCUGCGCCGAAAAUGUACCGGGGCUAAAACAAUUUACCGAAGCUGUGGAUACCUAUUAUAGGUAUGGUAGGAGAGCGUUCUAUGUGUGAAGAAGGUAUACCGUGAGGAGUGCUGGAACGCAUAGAAGUGAGAAUGCCGGUAUGAGUAGCGAAAGACAGGUGAGAAUCCUGUCCACCGUAAGACUAAGGUUUCCAGGGGAAGGCUCGUCCGCCCUGGGUUAGUCGGGACCUAAGGAGAGACCGAAAGGUGUAUCCGAUGGACAACAGGUUGAUAUUCCUGUACUAGAGUAUGUAGUGAUGGAGGGACGCAGUAGGCUAACUAAAGCGUGCGAUUGGAAGUGCACGUCUAAGCAGUGAGGUGUGAAUUGAGUUAAAUGCUUAGUUCUAUAACAUUGAGCUGUGAUGGGGAGCGAAGUUUAGUAGCGAAGUUAGUGAUGUCACACUGCCAAGAAAAGCUUCUAGCGUUAAACAUACUCUACCCGUACCGCAAACCGACACAGGUAGUCGAGGCGAGUAGCCUCAGGUGAGCGAGAGAACUCUCGUUAAGGAACUCGGCAAAAUGACCCCGUAACUUCGGGAGAAGGGGUGCUGACUUAGGUCAGCCGCAGUGAAUAGGCCCAAGCAACUGUUUAUCAAAAACACAGCUCUCUGCUAAAUCGUAAGAUGAUGUAUAG
rnacentral:rRNA from 1 species